rnacentral:lncRNA from 1 species
AUUUGCAUAAAAAGCGUCAUAAAGGGACAAAAAUUCAUUAUCAUGAUUCGUGAUUACAAUGUUUUAUUAUCUAAUACAAAGUUACAAUCUAACAAAAUUAACCAAUUUUCUCAUCGACGAGUCGUCUGUUUAUUAACGAAUUCUUUAACGUUCUACUUAUUGCAUUUUCCAUUUCCAAAUAAGCACAUUUUACAAUUCAAGAACCUUGUAUGUAUGCAGUUCUGGAAUGUAUCAGAAUGUAGAUAUUUUUUUCGUUUAAUAAUUUUCAGUUAAAGCGCUACCAGGCUCAAGCUAGCAGCCACUCGCAAGCAGCCACUUCGCUAGCAG